GGCCAUAGCUCAGUGGUAAAGCAUCUGCUUUGGUUACAGAAGGUCUCAGGUUCAAUCUGCCAUGGCAUCUCCA